rnacentral:ncRNA from 1 species
UAAUCCCGAGGGCAAACCCGGUGAAAACCAGGGACGCAAAGUUCUGGGUCUAAGGUCGUUAUGACUAUGAUUGCCAGACUGCAUGG